rnacentral:rRNA from 1 species
UACCUACGGGACGCAGCAGUGGGGAAUAUUGGACAAUGGGGGGAACCCUGAUCCAGCGACGCCGCGUGAGUGAAGAAGUAUUUCGGUAUGUAAAGCUCUAUCAGCAGGGAAGAAAGAAAUGACGGUACCUGACUAAGAAGCCCCGGCUAACUACGUGCCAGCAGCCGCGGUAAUACGUAGGGAGCGAGCGUUGUCCGGAUUUACUGGGUGUAAAGGGUGCGUAGGCGGCCCUGCAAGUCAGAAGUGAAAUCCAUGGGCUUAACCCGUGAACUGCUUUUGAAACUGCAGGACUUGAGUGGAGUAGA